AGAGUUUGAUCCUGGCUCAGAUUGAACGCUGGCGGAAUGCUUUACACAUGCAAGUCGAACGGCAGCACGGGAGCUUGCUCCUGGUGGCGAGUGGCGAACGGGUGAGUAAUACAUCGGAACAUGCCUAGUCGUGGGGGAUACCGUAGCGAAAGUUACGUUAAUACCGCAUACGUCCUGAGGGAGAAAGCAGGGGAUUCGCAAGAACCUUGCGCGAUUAGAGUGGCCGAUGCCUGAUUAGCUAGUUGGUGAGGUAAUGGCUCACCAAGGCGACGAUCAGUAGCGGGUCUGAGAGGGUGAUCCGCCACACUGGAACUGAGACACGGUCCAGACUCCUACGGGAGGCAGCAGUGGGGAAUUUUGGACAAUGGGGGCAACCCUGAUCCAGCCAUUCCGCGUGAGUGAAGAAGGCCUUCGGGUUGUAAAGCUCUUUCAGCGGGAACGAAACGGUGCGCUCUAACAUAGCGUAUUAAUGACGGUACCCGCAGAAGAAGCACCGGCUAACUACGUGCCAGCAGCCGCGGUAAUACGUAGGGUGCGAGCGUUAAUCGGAAUUACUGGGCGUAAAGCGUGCGCAGGCGGCUUUUUAAGCCAGACGUGAAAUCCCCGGGCUUAACCUGGGAAUGGCGUUUGGAACUGGAAGGCUAGAGUGUGUCAGAGGGGGGUAGAAUUCCACGUGUCGCAGUGAAAUGCGUAGAGAUGUGGAGGAAUACCGAUGGCGAAGGCAGCCCCCUGGGAUAACACUGACGCUCAUGUACGAAAGCGUGGGUAGCAAACAGGAUUAGAUACCCUGGUAGUCG
rnacentral:rRNA from 1 species